AAAAAAAAAAAAAAAAAAAAUCAGAAGAGAGCAUUUCGAACACAGCUGCUGGGAAUCGGAGUCUUAACGUUCAAAUCCAGACCUCAAUUUGCGUAGGGAAGUAAAUGCUCCUCCGAUCUCAGGCGGAGCCCUCACAUCUAUAAAAAUAUUCUGCUUUUGCUAGAGAAACGGAUCUGACAACAAGGAGAAGAAUUUACAUGAAACAGAAGAAUCUCUUGAGUUUUCAAAAUCUGGAAAUCAGCCCCCCAGCUCCAGAAUCCAAACAGUUUCGUAAAAUAGUUCAUAGAUAUUGAUCACCGGAAUAAUUCAGAGUUUCUUUCUU
rnacentral:misc_RNA from 1 species